AACUUUAAAAACAAUCACUUGGUGUAGCAAGGAGAUCCAAAGGCAAAGAGAUGCAUUGCCUGGAAGGCUUCUGGAAAACUGUAUAAGAACUGGUACUGACGAGAUGACAACUAUAUGUAAUGGUUUGAAAAGGGGCAAAGACAGCAACGGAGAAACUAAUCUCAGCAAAUUAAGCAUUACUGUGAACUUACCAUCUGCAGGAUGUUGUUGGUUAACAGAGGGAAAUUGCAGUGUUCCAUGAAGGCAGUUCUUCUAUUGAGCACAUAAUUGAAUGUACCAUGCUUGAAAAUGGUAAGAAAGCUUCUCUUUUCUAGAACACAAUCCUGGCUGAAAACCAUAUUGAAAACAGAAGAGUUGUCCUUGUCCACAUCAUAUGUGCUUAGGUUUAGAAACUGACUCAUCAUGUUGAAUAUUCUGGUAAAAUUCUGUGGAAAACUUUGGAAUCUCCACAGAAACCUUUCAGGUGAGAGCUGGUCAGUUUGUUGCAAGCACACAGUUUUCACUGGCUGCCUGUACUUUCCUGAAUUCAUGACUCUUUCUCCAUUUUAUCCAGCCUUCCUAAAACGUAAGUUUCCCUGAAAUUGUAAGAUUUUUGUGGAUGUGCACAUAUGGUUCUACCCAAGAUAGGCACCAUUUUAGAAGACAGAAGAAACUGUUUCACUAUGAAACCACCCAGAACAGUUGUUAGAACAUAUUUCCAUUUACAACUGAGAGCCAACUGGCAAUGUCUCCUCCCUGGCUGCAGAUAUUUGCCAGAAUUAAAUGUGGAUUUGUUCUCCCCACCUUCCAAUUUUGCCUUUGUUUCUAAUAUUUCAGAUUCAUCUACCCUGUGGCCUCAAAUUAUUUUCUAUUGAUUUUUUUUUUCCUUUUCAAUAUUUACCUGUGACUUAUUCGAUGGUAAGAAUUUUCAUACCAGAGAAUUUCCUCUGCAUCUGCAUUUGAUUUACCCUUUCAAAGACAUCACGUUUUCACUGACUGACCCUUUGUAAGGACACCUCACUUCCUUCUUGAAGAGGCAUUACUGGUGCAAAGUAAACUUUCUUUAACUAAAUCAGAACGGAUGAAACCAAAAUUUGACACUUUGUGUUGAACUUUCCAUAUAUUCAAUUCAGGCACAUUUCACGAGGAAGCUUCUACUGAAAUGUUUAUCAACUAUUUCCCUAAAUAAUAAUCUGUUUAUCUCAAUAAUAUUGUUUAUAAUAUAUUGUUUAUAACAUUUAUUUUUUGUCAGUUCUUUGGGUCAUAUUAUAUAUGCAAUUUGCAGAAAUCCUGGUACCUUUCAGAAUUCUGGACAUUGCCAUUCGCAUUACUUAGAGCAAGAACCAUGAAAGAUUUUAGCAGACAACUAAAACCAGGUGGUUUUAUCCCCCCUGGGAAAAAAACAGGAGUCUGGCUGCUAGUAGAAACUACAGUUUUAUGACUUUUGUAGGGAAAUAAGAGUUAAUAUAUGAUGAUGUUGGAAUAACUUUUUGUGGACUUUGCCUUUUUUUUUUCCCCCUAUGAGUAUUCUAGUUUUAAACCGCCGAAUAACACUGCUGUACUAAAUAUAAAUUCUAUGUAAUACAAAAAGGUGCAGUUGUACUUCAUAUGUACAUUAUAUCUUGUAUUAAAAACAAAAUUAGUCCAUGUAUUAUGCAUAUUAUUUGGGCAAACUAUGGCUGUUUGUUUGGUUUUUUGCAGUGUGCUAACUGACGAAAAUUUGAGUGCAAGUUUUUCAUGUUAGACAGUAUUUCACCUGAUGGUUUUUCAAUCUCAUUUAUUAAAAUUUGUCUUUUCAAGCUGA